rnacentral:rRNA from 1 species
CCCUUAGAUGUCCUGGGCCGCACGCGUGCUACACUGAUGCAUACAGCGAGUACUUUCCAGCUCCGCGAGGCAGCUGGUAAUCAGUAAUAUGCAUCGUGCUGGGGAUAGAUCUUUGGAAUUAUAGAUCUUGAACGAGGAAUUCCUAGUAAGCGCAAGUCAUUAGCUUGCGCUGAUUAAGUCCCUGCCCUUUGUACACACCGCCCGUCGCUCCUACCGAUUUCGAGUGAUUCGGUGAACCUUUUGGACAGCGUCUGUCCUCGUGUCAGAUGCUGAAAGUCAAGUAAACCAUAUCACUUAGAGGAAGGAGAAGUCGUAACA